GGAUGCGAUCAUACCAGCACUAAAGCACCGGAUCCCAUCAGAACUCUGAAGUUAAGCGUGCUUGGGCGAGAGUAUUACUAGGAUGGGUGACCUCCUGGGAAGUCCUCGUGUUGCAUUCC
rnacentral:rRNA from 1 species